UUCCGCGUGAGUGAAGAAGGCCUUCGGGUUGUAAAGCUCUUUCGCAAGGGAAGAAAACUCGAUCUCUAAUAUAGGUUGAGGCUGACGGUACCUUGAUAAGAAGCACCGGCUAACUACGUGCCAGCAGCCGCGGUAAUACGUAGGGUGCGAGCGUUAAUCGGAAUUACUGGGCGUAAAGCGUGCGCAGGCGGUUUUGAAAGUCAGAUGUGAAAUCCCCGGGCUCAACCUGGGAACUGCGUUUGAAACUCCAAAGCUAGAGUAUGGGAGAGGGAGGUAGAAUUCCACGUGUAGCAGUGAAAUGCGUAGAGAUGUGGAGGAAUACCAAUGGCGAAGGCAGCCUCCUGGCCUAAUACUGACGCUCAUGCACGAAAGCGUGGGGAGCAAACAGGAUUAGAUACCCUGGUAGUCCACGCCCUAAACGAUGUCUACUAGUUGUCGGGAGAGUAACAUCUUUUAGUAACCGAAGCUAACGCGAGAAGUAGACCG
rnacentral:rRNA from 1 species